rnacentral:misc_RNA from 1 species
GCACGAGCGACGCGCCAUCGUCAGUCGCCCUCAUAGCAUGCAUGCAUGUGCAGCCACCUCCUCCCUGCUCUGCCUUUCCAUCUGGUGCGGCGGACAAUAAAAUCAUCAGCGCCUCCACGCACACACGCCUUCGCUUUUGUAACUUUCUUCAGACGAUUGAUUCCCCCAUCCCUCUGAUGGACGGGGAGACGCCUCCGUGUGCGGUGUUAGUGUCCAAUGCCCCCACUAUCUCUGGGAAAGCCAGUCGGCCCCCUUGUCCAUGCCCGUGCCGAUCCACUUCUGGCAGUGACAGGGUCCAGUGCCUGCGACGCAAAGGAGGUCUGCACGAUACAUCGCUGCGCGUGGUGGCGGUGAGGCCCGUGGAUGGCGUGGCGUCGGAGCAACCUGCGACCGUGAACACGUCUGUGCCAUCCACAUGAUGGGCGAGAUGUCAUCACGACUCGAGCGUGUCCCACCCCCGGCCCUCAUCGUGCCCACCGCUGGUGUGGGGAGGCCCGAGUGCCCCCCCCCCCGAUGGGGCGGGUGCACCGCGUGGCGGCCGGCACAAUGGGAGCGGCUGUGAGGCGACCCGCUCAGGGGGCGGGUGGGCAGCGUUUGGGGCUGGGGCCGUGCUCCGAUGACGGAGUCGGCGCACUGCUCUACCGGCGUGUGCUUCGGCUGCUGCUGCUGCUGCUGCUUCGCACCACGCAGUCGGGAGGUGGGGGGCUGUGACAGGGUCGGACGUAGAGGCCCGUGGAGUGUAUUUUUAUACGGCAGUGCAGUUUACGCGCGUCAUACCUAUCUAUAUCUAUAUAUAUAUAUAUAUAUAUAUAUGCAUACACGCACAUGUGGCACAUUCGGUUCGUGAAAUGUACAUUUUGUUGUUGUUUGGAACUUUCGCUGUGGAGCCGCAGCGGGCAUUCAUCAUCUCGUAGAGCUCGCUUGUCCUCCCUCUCUCCGUCGCUCUCACCCCUUCGCUCGGAGCUGUCACUACAGAGCUGAUCCUCUCAACAUCCAGCCCCCAGGCAUAUCUCCCUUUCACCUCUGCCGUUG